rnacentral:rRNA from 1 species
UACGAAGGGGGCUAGCGUUGUUCGGAAUUACUGGGCGUAAAGCGCACGUAGGCGGAUUUGUAAGUCAGGGGUGAAAUCCUGGAGCUCAACUCCAGAACUGCCUUUGAUACUGGCGAUCUCGAGUCCGGGAGAGGUGAGUGGAACUGCGAGUGUAGAGGUGAAAUUCGUAGAUAUUCGCAAGAACACCAGUGGCGAAGGCGGCUCUCUGGAACGCAACUGACGCUGAGACGCGAAAGCGUGGGGAGCAAACAGG